CUGGGACACAUAGGGGGCUCCGAGACCGGGAUUGAUUCGGGGCAAAUGUUUGAUGGACCAAGAUAAUGUAAUAUUUCCUCAGUACAAAGCCAAGUGUGACCAGCUGCUUCUACCAACCAGCAGGAGAUGCCUCUUCUGUCUUCCUUCAGACAAAUACUUGAAGGACCAAGACAUAUUCCCUCGGGGCUAAGCCAAGUGCAAUCAGUUCCUUCUAACAAACAGCAGGACAAUUUACCAUGGCUAAUCCAGCAAACCUGCACAUGUU